CAGUAGCCACGGUAAUACGUAGGUGGCAAGCGUUGUCCGGAAUUAUUGGGCGUAAAGGGCUCGCAGGCGGUUUCUUAAGUCUGAUGUGAAAGCCCCCGGCUCAACCGGGGAGGGUCAUUGGAAACUGGGAAACUUGAAUGCAGAAGAGGAGAGUGGAAUUCCACGUGUAGCGGUGAAAUGCGUAGAGAUGUGGAGGAACACCAGUGGCGAAGGCGACUCUCUGGUCCGUAACUGACGCUGAGGAGCGAAAGCGUGGGGAGCGAACAGGAUUAGAUACCCCGGUAGUCCCUGUCUCUUAUAC
rnacentral:rRNA from 1 species